UGGGGAAUAUUGCGCAAUGGGGGGAACCCUGACGCAGCCAUGCCGCGUGAAUGAAGAAGGCCUUAGGGUUGUAAAGUUCUUUCGGUAUUGAGGAAGGUUGAUGUGUUAAUAGCACAUCAAAUUGACGUUAAAUACAGAAGAAGCACCGGCUAACUCCGUGCCAGCAGCCGCGGUAAUACGGAGGGUGCGAGCGUUAAUCGGAAUAACUGGGCGUAAAGGGCACGCAGGCGGUUAUUUAAGUGAGGUGUGAAAGCCCCGGGCUUAACCUGGGAAUUGCAUUUCAGACUGGGUAACUAGAGUACUUCAGGGAGGGGUAGAAUUCCACGUGUAGCGGUGAAAUGCGUAGAGAUGUGGAGGAAUACCGAAGGCGAAGGCAGCCCCUUGGGAAUGUACUGACGCUCAUGUGCGAAAGCGUGGGGAGCAAACAGGAUUAGAUACCCUGGUAGUCCACGCUGUAAACGCUGUCGAUUUGGGGGUUGGGGUUUAACUCUGGCGCCCGUAGCUAACGUGAUAAAUCGACCGCCUGGGGAGUACGGCCGCAAGGUUA
rnacentral:rRNA from 1 species